UACGAAGGGUGCAAGCGUUAAUCGGAAUUACUGGGCGUAAAGCGUGCGUAGGCGGUUGGCUAAGUCAGAUGUGGAAGCCCUGGGCUCAACCUGGGAAUGGCAUUUGAAACUGGCCGGCUAGAGUGUGAUAGAGGAUGGCGGAAUUCCCGGUGUAGCGGUGAAAUGCGUAGAGAUCGGGAGGAACAUCCGUGGCGAAGGCGGCCAUCUGGAUCAACACUGACGCUGAGGCACGAAAGCGUGGGGAGCAAACAGG
rnacentral:rRNA from 1 species